rnacentral:rRNA from 1 species
AGAGUUUGAUCCUGGCUCAGGACGAACGCUGGCGGCGUGCCUAACACAUGCAAGUCGAGCGAAGUGCUUACAACGGAAUCCUUCGGGAAGAAGAUGUAAGUAUCUUAGCGGCGGACGGGUGAGUAACGCGUGAGGAACCUACCUUCCACAAGGGGAUAGCCUCGGGAAACUGGGAUUAAUACCCUAUGAGACUUAGGUAUCGCAUGAUACUUGGGUUAAAGCGUAAAGCGGUGGAAGAUGGCCUCGCGUCCCAUUAGCUAGUUGGUGAGGUAACGGCUCACCAAGGCGACGAUGGGUAGCCGGCCUGAGAGGGUGGACGGCCACACUGGAACUGAGACACGGUCCAGACUCCUACGGGAGGCAGCAGUGGGGAAUAUUGCACAAUGGGCGAAAGCCUGAUGCAGCGACGCCGCGUGAGCGAAGAAGGCCUUCGGGUCGUAAAGCUCUGUCCUAUGGGACGAUAAUGACGGUACCAUAGGAGGAAGCCCCGGCUAACUACGUGCCAGCAGCCCGCGGUAAUACGUAGGGGGCGAGCGUUGUCCGGAAUGACUGGGCGUAAAGGGUACGUAGGCGGCCGUGUAAGUCAGGUGUGAAAGGCUAGGGCUCAACCCUAGUGAGCACUUGAAACUGCAUGGCUUGAGUCGAGGAGAGGAAAGUGGAAUUCCUGGUGUAGCGGUGAAAUGCGUAGAUAUCAGGAGGAAUACCAGUGGCGAAGGCGACUUUCUGGCCUUAGACUGACGCUGAGGUACGAAAGCGUGGGGAGCAAACUGGAUUAGAUACCCUGGUAGUCCACGCCGUAAACGAUGAGUGCUAGGUGUCGGGACAUAAGUUUCGGUGCCGAAGUUACACAUUAAGCACUCCGCCUGGGAGUACGGUCGCAAGACUAAACUCAAAGGAAUUGACGGGGACCCGCACAGCAGCGGAGCAUGUGGUUAAUUGAUGCAACGCGAAGACCUUACCAGGGCUUGACAUCCCUCUGACAGUCCUAGAGAUAGGGCCUUCCCUUCGGGGACAGAGGUGACAGGUGGUGCAUGGUUGUCGUCAGCUCGUGUCGUGAGAUGUUGGGUUAAGUCCCGCAACGAGCGCAACCCUUGCCUUUAGUUGCUAACAGUUAGGCUGAGCACUCUAGAGGGACUGCCGGCAAUAAGUCGGAGGAAGGUGGGGAUGACGUCAAAUCAUCAUGCCCUUUAUGUCCUGGGCUACACACGUGCUACAAUGGUCGGUACAAAGGGCAGCGAGCGAGCGAUCGUGAGCGAAUCCCAUAAAGCCGAUCCCAGUUCGGAUUGCAGGCUGCAACUCGCCUGCAUGAAGUCGGAGUUGCUAGUAAUCGCGGAUCAGAAUGCCGCGGUGAAUGCGUUCCCGGGUCUUGUACACACCGCCCGUCACACCAUGGGAGUCAACAAUGCCCGAAGCCAGUGAGCUAACCGUAAGGGGGCAGCUGUCGAAGGCAGGGUUGAUGACUGAGGUGAAGUCGUAACAAGGUAGCCGUAUCGGAAGGUGCGGCUGGAUCACCUCCUUUCU